rnacentral:lncRNA from 1 species
CUAAUACUUAGAUUAGAAAAAUACCUACCAGGGUGAUUACACUACUUUAUUUCUCUAAUUUAAAAAAUUCAGAAAUGAAAGUCAUCUUCCUACAUGUUUCAUAUUAUUCAUAGCAUUCAUGCUCCUUAGAAAGUAAAAUAAAUAUGUAAAGACACACUCAUAAGCUAAGAGAGUACUCCAGGUGGAGUAUUAGUCAAAUAUAUUUUUUUAUUUUUUUAAUAUUUGUUUAUUUUUGACAUAGAGAGAAAGAGAGAGAGUGCGUGCACCCACGCGAGUGAGUAGGACAGGGGCAGAGAGAAAAGGAGACAGAGAAUCUGAAGCAUGCUCCGCGUUGUCAGCACAGAGCCCAACAUGGUGCUUGAACCCACAAACCACGAGAUCGUGACCGAAGUCAGGUGCUCAACCAACUGAGCCACACAGACACCCCUCAAAUAUUUUUCUAAUGAAGGGGUUUCUAGUACAAAAUCAAGAAUAAAGAAAAUUCUGUAGGUAAGAGAAAAAAAUGGGAACGGGGAAGGUCAGAGCAGGAGCUGCUUAGUGAAACUACAAAGAAAAUAAUUAGGGUCUAUGUCUGGGGCAGGGAUUAGAGAUAGGGUAAUAGACCAGGGACAUAGGCCCAUCAGAGUAGGGUAGAAGCUCUAGAUAUGUUCAGUGCUUUACUGAAAGGUAAUGUAUCUUCUGACAGGGAAGCUACAGUGAAGACUGUUGAAUGGUAAGAAAAGCAGAAGAAACACAGAGAGAAAUAAAUCAAAAUAAUGUGAUGAAUUUCAAGAUGAAGAACACCUCAUGUUCUUCAGGGAUAAUGGGAGAUUGGAAGAGUUACUUCAAAGUGCACAGAAUGAGAGUUUCAGUGAAGACUGUGAGAGGAAGAUGCCUGGCACUUCUCUGACCUUCCACACGGAACUCUACAGAGAGGAAGACAAAAUCUAGAAUACUCAGAGGAAAUUUUAUUACCUUAUCUUGUGGGGUUUUUUUUUUAAUUUUCUUUCUCAUUUUCCAUUUAUAAAUGACUUUCUGAACCUGCUCAAAUUGUUCAGGCAAGAAUUAGAAAUUAUGUACAUUUUUUCCUUUUUGCAUGCACCUGGG